rnacentral:lncRNA from 1 species
GAUGCAUUGACCUAUGAUGAUGUGCAUGUGAACUUCACUCAAGAAGAAUGGGCUUUGCUGAACCCUACACAGAGGAAUCUCUACAAAGAUGUGAUGUUGGAGAUCUACAGGAACCUCAAAGCUGUAGGCUACAAUUGGGAAGACCAAAACACUGAAGAAUAUUGUCAAAGUUCCAGAAAACAUGGAAGGCAUGAAAGAAGUCGUACUGGAGAAAAACCCUCUGAAAAUACUAAAUGUGGUAAAGCCUUUGCAUGUCACAGUCAUCCCCAAAAGUAUGAAAGAAUUCAUACUGGAGAGAAACCCAAUGAUGGUAUUCAGUAUGGUGAAGCCUUUGUACAUCACUGUAGUCUCCAAAUGCAUAAAAUAAUACAUACUGGAAAGAAACCCUACAAAUGCAAUCAAUGUGGUAAAGCCUUUGCACAACCCAGAACUCUCCAAAUACAUAAAAGAGCACAUACUGGAGAGAAACCUUACAAAUGUAAUGAAUGUGGAAAAGCCUUUGUAUGUAAUGCUAGUCUCCAAGCACAUAAAGUAACUCAUAGUAGAGUGAAACCUUAUGAAUGUAAGCAAUGUAGUAAAUCCUUUGCCUCUCAUGGUCAACUUCAAGCACAUGAAAGAAUUCAUACUGGAGAGAAACCUUACAAAUGUAAUCAAUGUGGUAAAGCCUUUAUAGAACACAAUACUCUCAAAAGGCAUAAAAUAACCCAUACUGGAGAGAAACCCUAUGAAUGUAAUCAAUGUAGUAAAUCCUUUGCCUCUCAUGGUCAACUUCGGAAACAUGAAAGAAUUCAUACUGGAGAGAAACCUUACAAAUGUAAUCAAUGUGGUAAAGCCUUUGCAGAACAUGGUCAACUUCUAAAACAUGAAAGAAUUCAUACUGGAGAGAAACCUUACAAAUGUAAUCAAUGUGGUAAAGCCUUUGCAUACCAUUAUGAGCUUCAAAUGCAUAAAAGAAUACAUACUGGAGAGAAACCCUAUGAAUGUAAGCAAUGUGGUAAAUUUUUUGCUUCUCAUGGUCAACUCCGAAAACAUGAAAGAAUUCAUACUGGAGAGAAACCUUACAAAUGUAAUCAAUGUGGUAAAGUCUUUGGACGACACAGUCAUCUCAGAAUUCAUAAAAGAAUACAUACUGGAGAGAAACCUUACAAAUGUGAUCAAUGUGGUAAAGCCUUUCCAUAUAGUAAUACUCUCCAAGUACAUAAAAGAACACAUACUGGAGAGAAACCCUAUGCGUGUGGUCAAUGUGGCAAAGCCUUUGCAAAUCAAAGUUAUUUACAUGUACAUAAAAGAAUACAUACUGGAGAGAAACCCUAUGAAUGUAAGCAAUGUAGUAAAUCCUUUGUUUCUAAUGGUCAACUUCAAAGACAUGAAAGAAUUCAUACUGGAGAGAAACCUUACAAAUGUGAUCAAUGUGGUAAAGCCUUUGCAUACCAUUAUCAUCUUCAAAUGCAUAAAAGAAUGCAUACUGGAGAGAAACCCUAUGAAUGUAAGCAAUGUGGUAAAUUUUUUGCUUCUCAUGGUCAACUCCGAAAACAUGAAAGAAUUCAUACUGGAGAGAAACCUUACAAAUGA